rnacentral:rRNA from 1 species
ACGGGUGAGUAAUGCAUAGGAAUCUGCCUUAUAGUGGGGGAUAACCCGGGGAAACUCGGGCUAAUACCGCAUAAUCUCUACGGAGCAAAGUGGGGGACCGUAAGGCCUCACGCUAAAAGAUGGGCCUAUGUUGGAUUAGCUAGUUGGUAGGGUGAAGGCCUACCAAGGCAACGAUCCAUAGCUGGUCUGAGAGGAUGAUCAGCCACACUGGGACUGAGACACGGCCCAGACUCCUACGGGAGGCAGCAGUGGGGAAUAUUGGACAAUGGGCGCAAGCCUGAUCCAGCAACGCCGUGUGUGUGAAGAAGGCCUUCGGGUUGUAAAGCACUUUUAGUUGGGAAGAAAAGCUCAAGAUUAAUAACCUUGAGUGAUGACGUUACCAACAGAAAAAGCACUGGCUAACUCUGUGCCAGCAGCCGCGGUAAUACAGAGAGUGCGAGCGUUAAUCGGAAUUACUGGGCGUAAAGCGCACGUAGGUGGAAUUUUAAGUCGGAUGUGAAAUCCCCGGGCUUAACCUGGGAAUUGCAUUCGAUACUGUGAUUCUAGAGUAUGGUAGAGGGAAGUGGAAUUUCCCGGUGU